UAAAAAGUUACUCAAGCGCACAUAAAGGAUGCCUUGACGUCAAGACACCGAUGAAGGACGUAGCAGGUUGCGAUAAGCCUCGGGGAGCUCCUAAGCAAGCUUUGAACCGGGGAUGUCCGAAUGGGGAAACCUUAUGCGAGUCAUGUCGCAUAGCGUAUAGCUGAAUUCAUAGGCUAUGCAGCGGUAAGCUGGGGAACUGAAACAUCUUAGUACCCGGAGGAAAGGAAAGUAAACAACGAGUCCCGGAGUAGUGGCGAGCGAAACGGGAUC
rfam:Candidatus Saccharibacteria bacterium RIFCSPLOWO2_01_FTLL_49_22 rifcsplowo2_01_scaffold_33426, whole genome shotgun sequence.